GAUGAACGCUGGCGGCGUGCCUAAUACAUGCAAGUAGAACGCUGAAGGAAGGAGCUUGCUCUUUCCGGAUGAGUUGCGAACGGGUGAGUAACGCGUAGGUAACCUGCCUGGUAGCGGGGGAUAACUAUUGGAAACGAUAGCUAAUACCGCAUAACAGUAGAUGUUGCAUGAUAUCUACUUAAAAGGUGCAAUUGCACCACUACCAGAUGGACCUGCGUUGUAUUAGCUAGUUGGUGAGGUAACGGCUCACCAAGGCGACGAUACAUAGCCGACCUGAGAGGGUGAUCGGCCACACUGGGACUGAGACACGGCCCAGACUCCUACGGGAGGCAGCAGUAGGGAAGCUUCGGCAAUGGACGGAAGUCUGACCGAGCAACGCCGCGUGAGUGAAGAAGGGUUUCGGAUCGUAAAGCUCGGUUGUAAGAGAAGAACGAGUGUGAGAGUGGAAAGUUCACACUGUGACGGUAUCUUACCAGAAAGGGACGGCUAACUACGUG
rnacentral:rRNA from 1 species